rnacentral:lncRNA from 1 species
AGAAACAAAAACUGAGGGCAGACUCUUGUGCUAAGCCAGAGUCCCACUCUUUCAUCAAGCCACGUUCCCACCAUUUGCCGGAUUGUACAUGGCUGACGCUCUAGGACUUUCCCACACUAUAUGGAAGUUGUUUUGUUGCCUUCAUUCUAAACAGCAGGGUCAUCUCUGAUAGAAGUAUACCUGGAACGUUGGCAUGAGGAAAUCAAUCAAUGCAAAGCAUAUCAUGAGGUAUGUAUUCAGCACCAUGAGGAUCAACUCAGUGAG